AUUGAACGCUGGCGGCAGGCCUAACACAUGCAAGUCGAGCGGAUGAAGGGAGCUUGCUCCUGGUUCCAGCGGCGGACGGGUGAGUAAUGCCUAGGAAUCUGCCUGGUAGUGGGGGAUAACGUCCGGAAACGGGCGCUAAUACCGCAUACGUCCUGAGGGAGAUAGUGGGGGAUCUUCGGACCUCACGCUAUCAGAUGAGCCUAGGUCGGAUUAGCUAGUUGGUGGGGUAAAGGCCUACCAAGGCGACGAUCCGUAACUGGUCUGAGAGGAUGAUCAGUCACACUGGGAGUGAGACCCGCUCCAGAGGCAUACGGGAGGCAGCAGUGGGGAAUAUUGGACAAUGGGCGGAAACCUGAUCCAGCCAUGCCGCGUGUGUGAAGAAGGUCUUCGGGUGGUAAAGCACUUUAAGUUGGGAGGAAGGGCAGUAAGUUAGUACCUUGCUGUUUUGACGUUACCAGCAGAAUAAGCACCGGCUAACUUCGUG
rnacentral:rRNA from 1 species